GUUUACCGUAGCUUAGGAACCACUGAGUCUUUGGAAGGUUUGACACAGCACGGAGAAUUGGGGAAGAGUCAUUGCAGUCGGAGUUGACAGGAGCAUUUUGGGUCAUGGCCUCGGUUUAAAGGCGUCACCAAUCCACGCCCUAUCAGCUUGAAUUUAUGGGGGAGUUGCACAGGUCCGGUGGCCACGGAUGAAGUGCUGGUUGUCUAGAGUCGGGAC